AAGAGCGAUUUUGUUUUCAGUUACAUUGAAAAACUCCUUUUGGCGCUUUUU
rnacentral:tRNA from 1 species